AGCAGAAGCAACCGCAACAAUAAAGAACAUUGAUUGCGGCAGCGGAAUCGGCGCUGGCGUUGGCGUUGGCGCGCUGGGAUUGUUAAUAGUGGCAGGCAACAACACAACAGGUGUUCUUAAUCUGACCAGUGGGAUUUUUGACAUGAUUGACAAUGCUUAGAUUUGUCCUUUUAUGAAGCUUACUUUCGUAAAAUUUAACUUAACUAAUGGUUUUAAACGCUAUAUCGAUUUGUUGGACGCCGUUAUUCGUAGACAAAAAAACAAAUAAAUCUGUUCGCAAAGUUCAUACAGCGAAGUAUUGAAGAAGACGCCGCAAUGUCGAAUCGGCAUCGUUCUCUACUUGUUGGCCUUUGUCCUUCGAUUAUGUGGAAAAAUUUACGUAAGGCGUUGACUUAUGUGCCUAAAAAAUACAGCUCGUGCAAGAAUUAAAGCCAAAUGAACAUCGUUUGCUUCGCAUUUUUGCAGAUUGGGCUCAUUUGGAUUUAUUUUUCAGACUAUUUAUAUGUUUACAUGCCAUGAUAACAUACGCCGGAUAUCAUAUUAAAAAAAUAAAUUGCCAUGAAACUA